AGUAUUGGUACAUCACAUAAAAGUGAUUCAACUCUUUGUUGGUUUUUUUAGAAUAAAUCUUAUAUACAUCGACAGUACACAUACUAUCACGAUUAGAUACAUGAUAUAUUUUAAAUUUAAAUAAAUUAUCAUGCAUUCAAUGAUGAUGGCAUAUACACUGUCAACAUGUAAAAGAUUAAUCAUUUUUUUUAUCAGUUGAACAUAAAAAUAAUGGAUUGGGUAGUUAACAUUUCUCAAAACCCAAAUUAGGUUGACGAAAGUUAUUCAAAUGUUCUUUUGAUCAAUUAACAAAUAAAAAUUGGAUUUGGCCGUUAAAGAUUCUGAAACCCUGCAUUCUUCGCCAUAGUUU
rnacentral:lncRNA from 1 species